UUGGUUCGCAGAUAUUUUGCAGACAAAGUCCAAAGGUGAGCUUGCAGAGAAUGAGAGAGCGCUUACUCACUAUCCACGGGGGGGAGGCUGUGGGAGGGCCAGCUGUUUGCUUUGUGACUGCAGCUGAGAUCAUGGGUGGCUGGGUGGGCAAGCGGAGGUUGUAGCAGAUGUGGAGCAGGCGAGCUUGCUUAAGAGCAGGAGCACAGGACAACACCCAGAGACGGACCAUGGCUGCUCAACCCACUCCUAGCCUGAGAAGGAGCUGGAACACCAAAACCAACAGCAAACCAAGCAUUUUAACUUUCUUUGUGUGUCUUUCUAAGACUGCUAGGACUUUGUGUCCCAAGACUGUGGGUGUGAACUAAUUUUCAGACAGACAAACUUCAUGUUAGACUAAAGCGGCUGCACCACAUGCAGACAUCACCUCCUGGCUCCACGUCUGCACAGAUAAAUUCAACACGGGACUCACAGUAUUUCAGAGCUGACCACUCGAAUGGAGUUGCUGGUCGUCAACGUGAAAUUGGUUUCAAUGCAGCGGCCUUUCUCAAACUGGGCUGGCAGUUUGGCAAUUUCAAACCAUCUCCCCAUGAACUGUGAGGGCAGAAACACGCACGGGUUCAAAGACAACUCAGAGCAAUCGUUUUCUGCUCAGUCUGUCCCGUCACUGGUACCUGUUUAAGGCUGAAGGCGGUUUGAACAGCAGGUUCUGGACACGGGCCCCAGUGGGGAACCUGAGCCCUGAUGAUGGGGAGGG